rnacentral:rRNA from 1 species
UACGGAGGGGGCUAGCGUUGUUCGGAUUUACUGGGCGUAAAGCGCACGUAGGCGGCCUUUCGAGUCAGGCGUGAAAGCCCCGGGCUUAACCCGGGAAUUGCGUUUGAUACUGUUGGGCUUGAGACCGGGAGAGGAUAGCGGAAUUCCCAGUGUAGAGGUGAAAUUCGUAGAUAUUGGGAAGAACACCAGUGGCGAAGGCGGCUAUCUGGACCGGUACUGACGCUGAGGUGCGAAAGCGUGGGGAGCAAACAGG